ensembl:lncRNA
CUCGGAGGAGUCCCAACCCUCUGUUCUUGCAGCCUUCACCAUGGAACUACCUGCUACCAUAUCUUUGCUGCUUCGAUGGACUGGAUGCCCUGACAUGGCCCCAUCACUGGUCCAAUGCAAAGCCUGCAAAAACCGAGUGUGAGAGGGAUUCACAAGUCAUUCUCCACUUUGCCAUCAAAGAUGUCCUCACAGAGAAAGUCAGAUCCUUUGCACACAGAAAGAGAAUCACAAAUGGCACCGAAAUUCCUAGAAGCAAGCCUGCACUGAGCCACCUGGAGAAGAGCAUGUAAAAAUAGAGCUUUCUGGACUGCAUCCCAGUGUGAACAUCUGGACUUCCAAUCUUGCUCCGCUUGCAUUUUGAACGGAGUCCUCACAUGUCUUAUGGAUAAACAUGACCUGUGGAAUAAGAGGGGCUCACUGCUUAUCCUUGGCUGGCUGACCUGAACCUGCUGAGGAGGCCUGGUUAGCUUUGAACUCACCUACUUCUGACUCCCAAGUGCUGGGAUUCCGGGAGAGCACCAGCACAGCUGGCAGGAAGAGGUAAUUUUAGAACUUUUAAGCUGGAGCAGAUGAGAGAAGGGGACUAGAACAUUAACUCCUGG